rnacentral:rRNA from 1 species
UACGGGGGGGGCAAGCGUUGUUCGGAAUUACUGGGCGUAAAGGGCUCGUAGGCGGCCAACUAAGUCGGACGUGAAAUCCCUCGGCUUAACCGGGGAACGGCGUCCGAUACUGGAUGGCUUGAGUUUGGGAGAGGGAUGCGGAAUUCCAGGUGUAGCGGUGAAAUGCGUAGAUAUCUGGAGGAACACCGGUGGCGAAGGCGGCAUCCUGGACCAAAACUGACGCUGAUGCGCGAAAGCCAGGGGAGCAAACGGG